GGAUGCAAUCAUACCAGCACUAAAGCACCAGAUCCCAUCAGAACUCCGAAGUUAAACGUGCUUGGGCGAGAGUAGUACUAGGAUGGGUGACCUCCUGGGAAGUCCUCGUGUUGCAUUCC
rnacentral:rRNA from 2 species